rnacentral:rRNA from 1 species
UACGUAGGUCCCGAGCGUUGUCCGGAUUUAUUGGGCGUAAAGCGCGCGUAGGCGGCCGCCUAAGCGGAACCUCUAACCCCGGGGCUCAACCUCGGGCCGGGUUCCGGACUGGGCGGCUCGAGUGCGGUAGAGGAGAGCGGAAUUCCCGGUGUAGCGGUGGAAUGCGCAGAUAUCGGGAAGAACACCGAUGGCGAAGGCAGCUCUCUGGGCCGUCACUGACGCUGAGGCGCGAAAGCUGGGGGAGCGAACAGG